GAAUAUACCAAUUAUAGAGUUAAACGAGAAGAAUGACAGCUCAACUCCUUGCAAUACCAACAAUGAUGUUGCUGACUAUCUAGCAGUUGAGGAAAAACCUGAAGAACCAGCCAUUGAGAAAAAACCUGAAGAACCAAUGGCUAAGGAGAAACUUGAAGAACCGAAUGUUGAGGAUAAACCUGAAAAAUCAGUGAUAGAGGAGAAAUCUGAAAAACUAGCAACUGAAGACAUACUUGAAGAGCGAGCAGGGGAGGAAACACCUGAAGCACUAGCAGUUGAAGAGAAACCUGACGAAUCAGCAGUUGAAGAGACAGUUGAAGAACUAGCUAUUGAACAGAAAUCUAAAAAAACAGCAACUGAAAAAGAGAAACCUGAAGCCGUAACUCUCCUGGAAAAGGUGAUCAACCACUGUCACAGGGAUUCCUUGCUCUAUAUGUGCAAGGAAUUUACAUCUACUUAUCUAUUGAAAGAUUUAGUGAAACUUUAAAUUCUUCUUGCAGAAUAUGCCAGUUGUAGAUACAAAGGACGAGAUUAACAGUGAAAUUCCAUGCAAUGCCAGCAAUGAUGUUUCUGACUAUCCAGCAGUUGAGGCAAAACCUGAAGAACUAUCCGUUGAAAAAAAAUAUGAAGAACCACCAGCAGUUAUAUUGGAGAAACCUGCAGAACUAGCAGUUGAGGAGACACCUGAAAAAACACUAGUUGAAGAGAAGCCUGAAAACCCAGCAGCACGGGAAGAAACACUUGAAGAACCAGCAUUGGAAGAAACACCUGAAGAACCAACAGUUGAAGAGAAACCUGAAGAAGUAGUAGUUGAAGAAAAACUUGAUAAACCAGCAACUGAAAAAGAGAAACCUGAAAAGGUAACUUUCUGCGAAAAGGUGAGGAUCAAGCACUACCACAAAGUUUGCCAAUCCUAAUAGUUUGUAUGUGCAAGGAAUUCACAUAUGCUUAUUUAUUGAAAGACUAAGUGAAACCUUAAAUUCUUCUUGUAGAAUAUGCCUGUUGUAGACUCAAAUGGUAAGACUGGCAGUAAAAUUACAUGCAACACCAAUAAAGAUGUUGCUGAUAAUCCAGCAGUUGAGGAUGAAGAACCAGAAGUUGAGGAGAAACCUGAAGAACCAACAGUUGAAGAAAAACCUGAGGAACCAGCAAUGGAAGGAAAACUUGAGAAACUGGCAGUUGAAGAUAAACUUGAGGAACGAGCAGUUGAACAGAACCCUGAGGAAACAGCAGUUGAACCUGAAGAACCAACAGUUGAAGAAAAACCUGAAGAACCAGCAAUGGAAGGAAAACUUGAGAAACUGGCAGUUGAAGAUAAACUUGAGGAACGAGCAGUUGAAAAGAACACUGAGGAAACACCA
rnacentral:lncRNA from 1 species